rnacentral:rRNA from 1 species
UACGGAGGGAGCUAGCGUUAAUCGGAAUUACUGGGCGUAAAGCGUGCGCAGGCGGUGAUGUAAGACAGGUGUGAAAUCCCCGGGCUUAACCUGGGAACUGCAUUUGUGACUGCAUCGCUGGAGUGCGGCAGAGGGGGAUGGAAUUCCGCGUGUAGCAGUGAAAUGCGUAGAUAUGCGGAGGAACACCGAUGGCGAAGGCAAUCCCCUGGGCCUGCACUGACGCUCAUGCACGAAAGCGUGGGGAGCAAACAGG